UUACAGAAAAUAUUUACAGGCUUCUAUACACACCUCUGACUAUUUAAAAUACUCAGUUUCAUAAACCCAAGCUCCAAGUUGAUUUCGUUCUCGUCCUCCUGACCACCCAACCCUAUUUCUUUCAAUUUGUCGGAAGACGAGUUUCCUCAUCGAUCGCCAUCGUUUUGUCCUCCACUGGAUGCCAUUCCUUAUCAAGAUUCCAGUUUUGGUUUCUCCAUUGUGACAGGGUUUAAAUGGUGAUAGCUUCUCUUGGACUAAGGUUGAAGAAAAAGAAGAUCAGAUUGACGAAGAUUUGCCCAGUUCUCUUGUUUAUGUUUAAAAUGGUAUAUGGAAUUAUGAUUCGCACCCGCAUGGUGGGUGCAUGACUGUUCAAUCUAGGCAAUGCAUUAUACAUUCUUUAUAAAUGCAAUUCUGCAAUGUGCAGUAAAGGGGCUUCAUUUUUGUAAACAUGACAUGCUCUUUGAAACGAUGAAUUUUUGCAGUGCCAAUCUAAAAGAAGAAUUUAGAGUUCUUACUGUUGUUCCCCAAUUUAAACAGAGUUGUGCUAAGCCAAAUACACUUAAGUCAAGUACCACUUAAGAAAGCCUCAGAAGAAAUGAUUGAUUUAAUCAACACAACAGAAGGAGAGAAAGAUCUUUCAUAUACUCAAUUCCACUGAAGUGAAAUUUAGAGGUUGUCGUUCGGACUUUCAGCUUGCAUUUUCUGGUAACUGGUUUUGGUUAAUAUCAGUAAGACAAGGAUAUUUGAGCUAAUUGUUGCUGCUAGUUGUGCUAUGUUUUAUCUAAUUUAUUGCUUAAAAUUGUGUUAUAUUGCUAUUGGUGAGUUCAUACGGCUGUUGAGAAGAUCAGGCUGCAAAGUAAUAGCAAGAUCUCUGUCAAGGUAAAUAUAUACAUACAUAUAUAUAUAUAUACAUAAACAUUGUUAAAUCUUACUUUUGAUGUUUAAUUUUUUUAGGCUAGAACGACGUGAUGAUAUUAUUUUUGUUGCCCCAGUCUACCUGCAGUUUUUUCUGGUCACAAUAUGGUGUAAAUAACAUUCUUAUUUGAUUUCUCUUUAGCCCCAUUUCAGAAAUUUUUUCUGAUUGUAAUAUGGUGAAGAAUGGUUACAAUAGACAAUGUCGAAUGUACUUGAUAACAUCCUUUGAAGCUUAAGAUCUAGCACAUAUAUAGAAGUUGAGGUACAUCUUACAAGUCAAGUGAAA